CGGGAGUACAGUUAGUUUUCGUUUAGUCAAAAAACCCUCGUGCUCUACAGUUCGCGGCACCCCAGUGCGCAUGUGUAUUUCCUAUUAGGUGUAGUAACGUAACACUGCCGUAAUGCAUUACUGCUUAGUAACAGCACAGUAACUAAUAUAAACAGAUGUAGAUCCCAGAUACUACAGUUUUAACGUUUGUCACUAAUCGGAGGUUUGAUUCUGAGAUGAGUUGAGCUAUGUAGGGUAUGUCUGCAUUUACUUUGGCUUUCCUUCUUCAUUGGAUGAAUGCUUUCAGAAUUACAGAUUUCAAAGCAAACUAGUCCUACUACUACCACUGUAGAUUCAUUUUCUCUCCGAAAUAGGCUGAAUGUCUGUGAUUUGUUAUUGUAGCACUUGUUUUAAUGCCUAUAAAUGUGCUGAUAAUAUAUGGGACAAGGUGUACUUGUGAAUAUAGGGCAGGUCCUAGCCUUUUGGGGGCCUGUCAUGACAAAUAAUGUCCCCCUCCACGUCACAAUGGGAUUACAUGAGUCCCAAUUUCUGUUGCUAGGGGUGUUGCUAGAACUUGCAACAUUAUGAUCUGUUUACUUAAUGAACCAACGCGUCCGUUACUAUGCUGGUUGCUCGGCUACCUUGUAGAGGUAGGAGGACGCAGGAAGUUAUUUUUCACCUCAGAAGCGCUUGCUCAGUAGCAAGCGGUAAAUUGCCGCUUAGGCCGGCCAGAGUGGCUCGCUUGUGGGCAUGCUGGCCUCAUAUGGGAGCAUAUAGCAACACCUUCAGUUGUGCGUCAAGAAUUGAGCAUAGCAAGUCUGGUAUGGAGGCCUGGUUAUGAAAAGGGUAAAUAGUUAUAUAGUAAUAUGCUCUAAAACUCGCUGGCGACAAAGAAACUUUGCUGCCCCGUUUCCAAUCGUCCACAUGGCUCGGAGAACUUAUUCAAAUAAGUAAAUACAUUUCUAAAAUGUAAAAAAAAAAACGCACGCUGUUUUAUUAGCUAACUAGCUACAGUGCAGGCUAACUCAAACAAUCUGCUAACGUUGCUAACAGUAGUUAGCUAUCUAGCCAACAGUAGUUAGCUAUCUAGCCAACAGUAGUUAGCUAUUCAGCCAACAGUAGUUAGCUAUCUAGCCAACAGUAGUUACCUAUCUAGCCAACUUUACAUACUGUAAUGAAACAGGCACGCUAUCGACUGUGCAGCAAAAGCAUGCUCGUGCGGCAGGGUCGAUUUCCGUGCUUAUAAACCCAGGGUCGUUACACUACUCCCUCCUUUCAAAGAGCGCAUCCUCGUGCUAGCUUGCGACGCGCUCACCGGCCAAGCACACGCACUGUCGUGGAUGCAAGGUCCGACCACUUCUGACACCAGUGUAAUGAAACAGGCAGGGAGCAGGUCUCGAACCCUCGACCUUCUAGACCGAGGUCCGGCGCACUAUCGACUGUGCCGCAAAAGCAUGCUCGUGCGGCAGGGUCGAUUGGAGAUUCCUGCUUACAGUUAACAUGUAGGGCACUACAAGGUUGUGCGACCAGGGCCAUCAGGGACUGCCUCCUGGAGGAAUUCAGGCAUGUGAAGGCUACCUGUGUCCUGCAUAACUUCAUGAGGAUCUGCUGCUCUGCAGGAUGUUAAAAGGAUGUGGUCCAACAACACAGCAAGAGAGGCAGUCCGUGUGUGGGAGAUCUUCACCUACUUCUUCGAAGAGGGUGUUGUUCCCUGAAGUCAUCUUGAGUGACCUAGAACUCUGGAACAAGUCUUACUCUCUGCAGAGAUGAGGAACCCUCCAUGACACAAUACCAUCAGAAAUCCAUGAGAAAACAUAUUUUAUUCUUGUUUUCAUGCUGGGAACCUGGCACCAUUUCCAGUCCUCGUCCUGGGUCCAGGCCUUCGAAGGUGUCCACACUCUACACAGAGGUCAGCGUCCACUGCUUCUGUCAGAAAUACGUGAGAAAAGGUAAGAAGGUGGCCCGGUGCAGGAGAUGCGGCAAGCAUUUUCAUGUGUCUUGUUUGUCUCAUGUUGUCAAUGUGCAUGAAUUUGUCUGUUCAUCGUGUCUAUCGUCUGUUAUCUGUUUUGUCUGUUUUCCCCACCCCUUCCACUGCUUGGCCGGCUCCCCACCUCAAGAUGGUAGGUAUUUUACUACAUUGCAUCUUGUUGUAUAUUAUAUGUUAUUGUAAAUAACCUGUUAUACAAAUUUAAAACAAUAUUACAAAGAUGUUUUUUUGCAGACAUUGGCUGUGAAGUUGGUAAGUAUAUAGAAUAUGUAUUUGUCUUGUAGUCCAAGUAACAUUUACAAGUAUGUAAAUAUUUGUAUAUUUUUCCAUUUGUUUGCUGGCAAAUAUUUGAAACUUGUUAGCUGACAUGGCUAAUUGAGUGACUGUCAGUGACUGACAAAGAUCUUGUGUAAUUCUACUAUUUUAACUCUCAACAGUAAGUUGAGACUGAGUUUCUAUUUUUUUAUAGAUUUUUUGGGGUCAGGCCCUAAGCGACUGUUUAUCAAAUGUUAUUGGUCACAUACACAUAUUUAGCAGAUGUUAUUGCCUGUGUAAACUACUGUUUAUAUACUGCUUUACUCAUCUCAUAAAGCAGUAUGUAAACAUUAUUAAAGUGACUAGUGAUCCGCUCCUUUUUUUCCAAUUUUCAUUUAAAAUGACAUACCCAAAUCUAACUGCCUGUAGCUCAGGACCUGAAGCAAGGAUUGUAUUCUUGAUACCAUUUGAAAUAAAACACUUUUAAGUUUGUGGAAAUGUUAAAUUAAUGUAGUAGGAGAAUAUAACACAUUAGAUCUGGUGGCUUAUUUAACAGCCCGAUGGCCUUGAGAUAGAAGCUGUUUUUCAGUCUCUCGGUCCCAGCUUUGAUGCACCUGUACUGACCUCGCCUUCUGGAUGAUAACGGGGUGAACAAGCUGUGGCUCGGGUUGUUGAUGUCCUUGAUUAUCUUUUUGUCCUUCCUGUGACAUUGGGUGCUGUAGGUGUCCUGUAGGGCAGGGUAGUUUGCCCCCAGUGAUGCAUUGGGCAGACUGCACCACCCUCUGGAAAGCCCUGCGGUUGCGGGUGGUGCAGUUGCCGUACCAGGCAGUGAUACAGCCCGACAGGUUGUGCUCAAUUGCGCAUCUGUAAAAGUUUGAGGGUUUUAGGGGCCUGUGUGAAUGGAUUGUUUUGGAUCUCAGACAGAAUGGAUGGAUUGGGGUGUUUUAUUUGCUUAGAUAAAAUAUAGAACCGUUUGUAAUUUAAACCCACAAAGAAUAGAUUAAUGUUCAUUCUAACAGAAAUUCAUUACAUGUGUAUACUGCUAUGGUUAGUUAAUUUGAUUUUUUUAAAUGAGAGAGUAAAUUGAAUUGAACACAAUUUGGCAGCGAUGAGACCAUAGAGUCUUCUUGGGUAUGAUGCUACAUUUUUAUUUAUUUAAUACAUUUUAGAAUAAGGCUCUAAUGUAACAAAAUAUGGAAAAAGUCAAGGGGUCUGAAUACUUUCCAAAUGCACUGUAUUUCCAUAUUGGUUGUUAUUGUUCACUUAAUGAUCAUUCAAAUUAAAUUAUACAAUCCAUAUUGCUUGUCUUGGUGUUAAGGUUUAGUUUUUUUAGAAACACUUUACCGACAAUUCACUGAUAACCAAUAUCCGUUGCUGAUAUUUACUGAAGUACUGCUGCCACAUUGCAAUCAACUCAUCCAAAUCUGAUCAUUUGAUGUCCUACAUUAAGAACAAAUUAAGUUCAGCCAUGAUAAUUUAAUUAGAACUACAUGAAAUAAGGCUUCCCAUCCACUGUAUUAAGUGACAGCUCCACUUCUGGGAACCGCACCUUCGUAGUGACUUAUCAAAUUUCAAAUGCAUUGAUCUAAGAACUAGAUCCAUUAGUCCUAGGCUCUCCAACCCUGUUCCUGGAGAGCUACCUUCCUGUAGGUUUUCAAUCCAACCUCAGUUGUAACUAACCUCAUUAAUAUUAAUAUUAAGCAGGUAAUUAUUCCUACGUACAAAAUUAAUGAACGUGUUAAAUUAUUAUGUGACGUGGAGUCAUAUUCAGGUCCUGAUUGGUAAAGAAGAUUAUUUGACGUGUCAACUAGUGUUAUUUGACGUGUAUCUUUUAGACACGCAAAGAUCCAAACGGUGUUCCAUACUGAAUAGACAAGUGUAACGUUAGUGUUUGUAAUGCAAGAUUGAGGAGAAUCUGUCUCAUUAGAGAUCACUUUUAUUUUGGGAGUUUUCAAAAUAUGACCUUUUCAUUCAAGACAGGAUAAAUAUAUUGUUUCAGGUGAUAAUAAAACAUGUUUUGUUUAGUUACUUUUUUUCUCACAUCAACCUAGCUAAAGUUAGCUAGCUAAAAGCUAGGUUGAAUACACAACUGUAGCUAGUGACCUCCAUCACAAUGAACUUAAACGGGAGGCAACAGUCAUAUAAUAUAAUUGGCUUAGCAUUUAAUGUGUUAUAAUUAACAUUACCAAUAAAAUAGUACUCACUUAUAGUAAUUGUUUAGAAGUUGCUAGUAUGAGGAUUCUGUGUUAUGCACUAUAGCCCGUUACCAUAUACGUGAUUGAAUAUUAUCUGCUGUUGGCUUGUGUGGAUGUAUGUAUGUGUUAUGCAACAUAGCUGACUUGAAACAUUGUUAACAGUUUCAGGGCCAUGCGCCUUUCUCAUGAUGGAAAAAUACAGAAUAACAUAAAAACGGACACGUACAGAACGUAGUGUAGCAAACCACAGACUGUUUUGUUAGAACUCAAACUUAACAAUAACAGAAACCAGAUAUGUGAUAACGGUAUCUAGGGAAUGAGCGCAUAGAUACUCGACAGAGCAAGUUACAUCUAUCAACUGGAGUGCCCGGGGGCUGGCACCAGCUCGUACGACAACAAUCAACGAUAGGCUGGGUGAGUCUAAACCACGCCCAGUCUCUACUCUGACAGGCCGGCUCGGAAGCAGGAACUUUUUCUGUCAGAGUAUAUUUAUAAUAUCUUUGUCAAGAACAAGUUAGUUCUCUGUUUGCCCUGCGAAGUGGGAGAGAGAGCCCAUAUAUACAAAAAUUGCAUUUACCACUUAUUGCUUAGCUAAUAAAAAAUACAUAGUAUACAA
ensembl:lncRNA